GUGAGUAGUUCAGAGUUUGAUCCUGGCUCAGGAUGAACGCUGGCGGCGUGCAUAACACAUUCAAGUCGAACGGUGACAGAACUCCCUUCGGGGAGUUCCGAUCAGUGGCGGACGGGUGAGUAACGCGUGAGCAACCUGCCCUUGUGUGGGGGAUACCGUCUGGAAACGGACGUUAAUACCGCAUAACAUAGCGGAAUCGCAUGGUUCUGCUAUCAAAGAUUUAUUGCGCAAGGAUGGGCUCGCGUCUGAUUAGAUAGUUGGCAGGGUAACGGCCUACCAAGUCUACGAUCAGUAGCCGGACUGAGAGGUUGAACGGCCACAUUGGAACUGAGAUACGGUCCAG
rnacentral:rRNA from 1 species